UACGGAGGGUGCGAGCGUUGUCCGGAAUCACUGGGCGUAAAGGGCGCGUAGGCGGCGCGGGAAGUCAUCGGUGAAAGCUCAGGCUCAACUCUGAGUCGGCCGGUGAUACUCUCGUGCUUGAGCACUGUAGAGGCAGGUGGAAUUCCGGGUGUAGCGGUGGAAUGCGUAGAGAUCCGGAAGAACACCGGUGGCGAAGGCGGGUCUGACUGGGCAGUUGCUGGACACUUG
rnacentral:rRNA from 1 species